rnacentral:lncRNA from 1 species
CUUUUCGCCUUUUUGUCUUUUUUUUUUUUUUUUUCUCCCCUUUUUUCUUUGUAGUUAGCUACGUCAUGUUUUUAAUUUACAUGCACAAAAAUUGUAAACAUUAGUCAAAAUAAAUUUAUCUCAUGUUUUUCAUGUGUAUGGCUGAGCGAAAUAAAAAACACAUAUAACGUGUACAUAGUUAUAGAAACGUAUUUAUACGUACACAUAUAUUUACAUACAUAUGUGUAUAUGUUAGAACUAAACCGAAAUUUUUUAUUUUGUUUGUUUUGUUUUUGUUCGCCUUUUUCCUUUUCAACACAUAUAUAACUAUAUUUUAAUUUUGAAAAUAAUAUAAUUUUAAAAUGGGCAAAGACAAACACAAGAAACAAAAAUCUGAACUACCAUCAAAAACUAGUAGAAACUCAUCUUACUCUCUAAAAAAUUAUACAGGGGUAGCAACUGUAGUAUUGUAUCCCAAUAAAAAAUUAAAAAUAAGAGAGAAAUAUUAUGGAAAUUUCCUACAAGGGAAAAAACAUGGAUAUGGAGAGUAUGAAUACCAAAAUGGAGAUUUUUACCAAGGGUCAUAUGAACAUGGUAAAAAAAAUGGAAUAGGUACUUAUUUUUUUAGUGAAAAUAGACAAAAAAAUAAGAAAUUAAAUAUAAGAAGAAAAAAAAAAAAGAGUAGUGAUUCUGAAGAUAACCAAAACAAAAAAAGUAAAGAUAAUGAAGAAGACGAUAAUGAUACAGAGGAUAGCACUAAAGAAAAUGAAAGCGAAAGUGAUGAUAAUACAGAUGAUGAAAAUGACAUAACAGAUGACGAAUCGAACAUUGAAAAUACAUGUGACAAUAAAGAUGAGAAGAAGGAAUUUGAAACAAACGAAGAGGGUUUUAAUGACGAGGAUGAUUAUACGAGUACAGAACAAGAGAAUGAUACUGAGACUAAAGAACUUAUGAAAAAAAAAAAAAAAAAAUUAAAAAAGUUAUUAAAACUUAUGAAAUAUAUGAAUAAAACAACCCAUCAAAAAAAAAAAAUUAUAGACAUUACAAAAGGUAAAUAA